ensembl:lncRNA
CUGGUACCCAACCAGCACCAGAUGUCAUUUGGACAUGGUUUUGUUUUUUUGGGCUAAAUCAACUCGGCUGUCUGAUUUGGUUCAAAUAUAGCCCCAAAAUCUAUGUUUAAUAUUAGGUUUUGUUUGGUCCAUCUGAUUUGGUCCAGAUUUAGGCCAAAAAUAAAUGUUGAAAUAACAGUGAAAUUCUGCGUGACUUCUACGGUGCUGUAAUGGGCGCGCGUGCUGAACUGGAGCGGAGGACGUCACCAUGGAAACGAGGCGGCAGCACAACCGUCAAGCAGCUGAACGCUGACUCUCAAUGUGGUUUUCACUAUUGUUUUUUAGAGUUUAGCUCCAACCCCAGUUAAGCAGACCUGGGCAGCGGAUCAAGGAUCACCAGAAACUCUGCAGAACAUUGGUCCUCCAGCCCAGGACUGGACACCAGUGUUGUAAGUCAUUAAUCUAGAAGUCAUCCUGCCUCUUUGAAGUGUCAUGUUCAGAAUAUAUUGCAGGAGAUCUCAACAUUGUCUCUUAAGGUCCACUUACAUGCAGAGUUUUGCACCAGCCUGCAGUGCACCUGAACUCAUUAAUCAAGGUCUUCAGUUUUACUAACUAUUAGUGUUGUCACGGUACCAAAAUUUCAGUAUUCGGUACCAGUACCAGUGAAAAUCCAUUGUACUCUGUACCAAUUUCAGUACCAAAGCAAAACACAAAAACAUGCUAAUUCAUUUUUUUUAUUAUUAUUAUUAUUAGCUGCACUUACACUAACAAUUAACUACUCUUAUAACAGUGUUUAUUUCAAUCCGACAUUCAGAUUAUAAUUAUAUAUAUCCUGUACACAGAAUGACAGUCAA